rnacentral:rRNA from 1 species
GUCUGUUUGUAGAUAUAAAAAGUCUAACCUGCCCACUGAUAGAUAAUUUAAUGGCCGCAGUAUUUCUGACUGUGCAAAGGUAGCAUAAUAAUUAGUUUCUUAAUUAGAAUCUUGUAUGAAUGGUUUGACAAGAAAAAAUCUGUCUUACAAUUAAUUAUUGAAUUUAACUUUUAAGUGAAAAGGCUUAAAUAAAUUAAAAAGACGAUAAGACCCUAUAAAGCUUAAUAUUAUUUUUAUUAUUUAAUAAAAUUUUUUUAAAUAUAAAUGUUUGGUAAUAAUUUAUAUUUUAUUGGGGUGAUAAUGAUAAAAUGAUUAUUAACUGUUAGUUAUUAAAACAAAAAUAAGUGAAUAUAAGAUUUUAAUAAAGGAUCCUGUAUUAGAGAUUAAAAGUUUAAGUUACUUUAGGGAUAACAGCGUUAUUUUUUUUAAGAGUUCUUAUCGAAAAAAAAGUUUGCGACCUCGAUGUUGAAUUAAAAUAUCUAUAUAAUUGUAGUAGUUAUAUAAGAAGGUCUGUUCGACCUUUAAAUUUUUACAUGAUUUGAGUUCAAACCGGUAUUAAG